AAUCCCAAUGAACUCAACUCAUAAUAUUUAGGAUUAAUUUUAUACAUAUCCCUGCAAAUAUAGUGAAUAACAAAUAUAUCUUUACAAAGUUCAACUUUCAUAUAUUGUUUUUAUAAAAAUGCCGAUAUUUUCAAAUAUGUCCAUAUGCUUUGUCACCGUUAAGGAACUAUUUAUAUUUCAAUUUUGUCAUCACAAAUACGUCUCUUCAAAAGUCACAACAGUAUAAUAUAAGCAGAAUAAAAAUAUCAAAAAUUAAUCAGGAUUAAAUAUUUAACAUAUGAAAGUUAAACUUUGUAAGAAUAUUUGUCAUUCACUAUAUUUACAGGGACCUAUACAAAAUUAACCCUAAUAUUUAUGUAGAUGGAUUAAUAAUUUUC
rnacentral:lncRNA from 1 species